AGCAGGGAUGGCCUGGGGCAAGAAAUUGCCCUACUGCAAUUGAAAGAGGCUUGCAAAGUGUAGGUUCUGAAGCUAUUUGCAGUGUCAUGAGCUGCCCUCAUCCUGGCAAGGCAUACAGCAAGGCAGGGACACAGCCUUCAGGGGAGGCCAAGGAGCAAAAGCUGAGGAACAUGGAGGAUCUAGGACAGAGACAGGCUGAGGUUGGAAAGGCAGUUAGCCCAUAACUGUAUUAGGAGAAAUCAUUCUUUUUAUUAAUAGUAACAUUUAAGCCUUCUAACAAUAACAGACUGUAUUAAGCCUCGGGUCUUGCCUGGAUUUGUCUGGUCUUUAACAUAUUUUAGCAGUAUUUGCAAAAAUCAUCCCAGAAACUUCUGAGGCAGCAAGUCUGCUAUUCAUCUUUCUACAGCCGUCUUAUUAUUUAUGUGUCUCAGACGGGGUUUUGCUGAGUAGCGCACAACUGCCUGGUGUCAACAGUAAUUAUGAGUAAAAAUCUCCAUCCAGACACAGGAGGAAUAAAGUAUAACCAAUUAAGCAGCUGUAUAUUGAGGCAUUGACUGAGGAAAGGAACACAUGGGCUGCAUCUGAGGCCAAUCUGGUAAGCGUUGCAGAGUGUGGAUGUGCUCACAAGCCAAUGAACCAGCAGGGAAAAGACCUGGUUAAUAGCAAACCUUGCAAGGGGGAUUGCUUUUCUCCCACUGAUUGGAUACCAUCAGAGGAGGUUCUGCAAACAAGGAGCUCCAGUUUGACAUUUCCCAGUCCUGGCAAGAUUUUAUAAGGAAAAUUAACUUAGCUUUGAAUGUGUGACUGUUCUUCACACGUAUAAGAACUGCUAAAAGUGUACCAAUGAUCAAAAGGUACUGACAAGCGAUUGUUGUGUAGCAUUGCCAGGGACAAGACCUGCAAAACAUCUGUGCCCAUUCAAAAAUGAAAAUCUACCAGAAGUUGAGUUGCUCAUCACUAGCAUACCUGCAAUAGUGAGUUUUUAGUUAAAGACUUCAAAGGUUAUUUUAAUAAGAUCUUGCUUUAGUCAGAUCUCAGCUGUCAGAAUCACUGAGCCCCUCAACUUUGGUUUAGGCUUACACUGACGAAAAUGAAAAAUUCCUUGAGGACAUCUGUUAAUUCAGGAUUAGAUUUAAUAAAAUUGGAAACUUUCAGGGAAGGAAAAUGCCACAUGGCACUGUUUCAUGCUGCAAGGUGACAGGAAAAGACCUUGGUCUGGGGAAAAGAAGCCCUGUUUAAGAUUAUCUCAGGAUGGAAGGUCUCAAGUGACAAAAUAUUGUUCGUCAGCGAGGGUUGGUUUCCUGUAUUCAACAUUGCUUCUUCCAUUUUCUAAAAGCAGAAUAAGAAGAUCCCUUGACCAUGUCUGGCUGAAGCUGACAAAGAUACUUUAAAAUAAAGAAAGAAUUCAGCGUGGACAGACAAAACAAAAUACUAUUCUUAUUCUUUGUACUUUUUAUGCUGCUGUUGUUGUCCCCUAAAAGGAUGAUUCUCACUAUUUCUAUGUGUUUGGGGUUGAGGGGUUUUUUUUGCAUUAUUUACUAAUUUCCUUUAUGAUGAUAGAGCUAAGUAGCAAAAUAUGUAUUCUAUUGAUUUUUCUGGAAAAAUAAUAAUUCUCUGUAAUUUCUACUAGUUCACUAAAGUCAUUUACAACUUACAGCAAUAAUAAAAUAAUGUAUAACUGGCUUUCUGUUGCUUUCCAAAAACAUCAGAUAUAAAGCGUGAUCAAUUUUAUAAGAUUGAAUCAAAAGAUUCUGGAGCACUAAUUUUUGUAAAACUGUCGUAAUUAUCUUCGUAAAAAUGGUGUUCUAAAACUGAUUUUUACAGCCUAAAACCCUUUGCUUUGGAUAAUGUUCCGGAAAUCAUUUGGUCCUCCAAUCAAGGAAGUGCAGGAAACAUCUUAUUGCAGGGAGCAUCUCUUGUUUUGUCCCCGAUGUGAUGUAGGCUGGAUGAGUAUGUUUGGAAUUAGGACAAAUUUUAAAUUGAGCUUUUGCAAUAGAUACGUGUAGGUUUUUUUUAAAAGCACAUAGACAAGGUCUGGUCUAAGAGUGUUUUUAUAAAUCUCAGUAAGCCAGUAUUGCUUUUCAUUCCUGGAGGGAAUUCAGUCCUACUAGAAAAUCUUCCUUGCCUGAGCACGCAUUUCAACAUACGAAGAAUCAUCCCAUGUCAAUCUUCGCUGCUUUCACUCCAUAGCAACACAUGUAGCAGCAUAUCUGAAGCCAGUUGUAUUUGCUGAUGCACUUAGUAGAAAAAUAGACUUUCUUUUAUUUUCCAGAUGGAUUCUUACAAUGUGUGUGUAAGGAUGGGCUGUUUUAUCACACUGACUAGAGUUUGUGCAUUUUGUCCAAUAAAAUGAGUAAUAGCUGAGGCUGUAUCCUUUAUCAGAAUUGCUGUUCAGAUUCUAGAUAUUGUCCCUCCCACUAAUUUACCUCCCAUUUUUUGUAAAUAACCCAUGCAAAAACAAUUUAUUUUUCAAAAGGAAAUGAUCUUCCUAUUUAUUUGUUCUAAAGAAUUAAGAUUUUUCAUCACUGUUUAGAAACAGAACUAUAACCUUGAGUUUUUCAUAAAAGCCAUUCCUUCAUUCAAGGUUAUGCUGACUAAAUUCAACUUUGCUUCUCAGACUUGUACAUUAAAGAAUUGUUUCUUCCCACAGAAAAACAGUGUGAGUGUAGUCCACAGCUUUUGACACCAACUGACAGUUAGACUAACAUUAGAGAAAAUAACUACAGAGACUAAAAUAAUAUAUAACUGACUCCAGAGCUAACAAGGCAGUAAAUAGUCACAGGGUUAACUGCUUGAAGACUGUGUUCUGUUUCAGAGGUUUUUCUCUUACAACAGAUGUCUGUAAAACAAAAAAGUCAUGAGAAUAUCUAACACCUGACAUACCAUUCUGUAUUUGCAGAUCUGGUCUGGGAGUACCAGUGGGUACCUUCCAACUCAGGAUAUUCUCUUAUUCCCUUCCCUCCACUCCACUCCACUCCACUCCACUCCACUCCACUCCACUCCACUCCACUCCACUCUAUUAUAUGAAGGAUUUAACAUGCUACCUAACUCAUGGCCAUAAUCAGGUUGAUGUAGUUCUAAACUUUAGCAUAGAAGGUGUUGGAACAAAGCCUUUUGACUUCCAUAAAAGGUGAAGCAGAAGAACCAGUGACAUGCUCUAGUAUCAGUAUAUACAUAUACUUUAUACACAUGCAGGUUACUCUUUUCCUGUGAAAAGAUGAGCAAAACUGAACAUGUACAAGAUAGGUUAUUUGUCCAUGUUUCAGGAGGUGCCUAGUUCAUUUUCACUGUGUUUUGUAUUCCCAAAUGCUUCAGCACUUUUUUUCAUAAUAACAGACAUUUUAAGAAGAGGCAAAAAUCAGGUAAAUUCUUUUUUUGCAGUUUUCGUUGGAUGCAGUUACUGACAUCUGGAGGUUUCUUUACCAUGUCUGUCACCAACUAUCUCCUGCAAAGUUAGUUCCUGGUAAAUCCUGUCUGAACGUGAAGUCAGUAGUCUCUCCUACAGCUGUCUCUUCACUGUCAUAUUAGGAGUAUCCUGUUAAUACUGUGCUGAGAUUCUUACUAGCAAAGUUCAGCUUUAAUUUUUUUUUCCCAGUAUGACUUAGACUGGAGUCUGCACUAAAAUCCCUUGUUUCUCCCUUAUGUCUUUCACAGAGCAAAGAACAAUUUGUUCAACUAAAUAGAUUGACUUCUAAAUGUCAUCAACUGAAUUUCCAGGAACUAAAGCAUGAUGAUUUCCCACAAUGCAUCUAUCCAAGACUCUUGAAAUCAUACAGUCACACCAUGGACCUGUGGUACAAUAAAAAAGAAAUUGGAAAGAAAUAUUAGAACUGCUUCCUCUAAGAUCUCGUCCUCUGCUCUCCUUUGAGGAGAAUACCUUUCACCAUCUAUCAAGGCUUCAGUCUUGCAAUUGCUCUGUGGCAUCUGUGUAAGAAAGCACUGCCAUUGGUAAAGUUUAGCUAAGACAGCAUCACAAGAUUUUGCAUGUUCUGUGGUAGUCUCCUUGAUAUUUACUUACUUUUGAGCACCUUUUUUUAGGCAGAGGCAGCAUAUAUAGGGUCCUCCAAAACAGCUUGGUCAUUCUCAUUACAUGUACAUUGGCCUUUUCUACUUCCACAAAAAACAGUAACUGCCUCUUUUCUCUAAAUUUCAGAGAAAAUACACACAGCAAGCUUUCUGUUAACUCCGUUCUCUCCUACUAUGAAUCUGUUUAACACUUCUACAUUUCAGUCUCUCCAGAUGCUUUCAGAAAUGUCGCAAGUCUUCAUAUUCUGCAGCACCAUUUCACUUGUAUAAUUUGUGCUGAGCUCAAUACUUCUCCACAUUUAAAUAUAUGCUCUGCAAAGCUUUUAUAACACUUGUUUACUACUUUCUGUGACUUACAAAAGCAGUCAAACAUGCCUUCCAUAACAAAUCACUUCACUAAGUGUAUCCACACUUCCUCAAGAUAUUUCCCUCACUUUCAGUUCUCUAUCUGCCUUUAUGAUUAGCUCCUUGUAAAUAUGACCAAUCUUAUCCCAUUUGGAUUUGCAUGAUUUAACUCCUCCUUUGCAUUCUCUUCACAUGAUACUCUUGCAAAAUAAUUGCUCCAAGCACUGCUAAUUAAUUCAGCAUUCAUUUCCAAUAUACCUUUACUUGUAACGUAAGCAAGUGUGUUUGUAUCCCAUAUUACUUGUUCUCUUGUCUGGAUGAGGUUGCAGGUGAUUUUUUUGUAUUGCUUGAGUCCUCCUCUCCCUGGAGAGCUAUAAAACUCACAGCUAACUCCAAUUCUAGCUGACACUAUUUCUUUGGCUUCUUUUUUUGCUUGUCAUAUUCUCACUGUUCAAGCAAUUGUACUGUCUUUCCAACCUAACAGAUUAUUUUACUAAAGUUUUUCACAAACAAGACAACUUCAUCAUACAAUUUAUCUCUAGUAGUAGUACCAAGUUCUUUUUGCACUGUUUCCAAAAGUCUUACUGUAAUUCCCAGGAUAUCCCAUUUGCCUUAAUUGUGUUAAACACAACUCAGAUGCUGUUUAAAUCAGCUGGAAAAUGGACAUUACAUGUGUGCACUAGGAUAUAUUCUCAGCCAUUCAGUGGAUUUGUCUGGUUUUUCUGAAGUGGCUUAGAAGUAGAAUUACACACCGAACCUUAUUAAUUCCCUUUGGAAUUACACAGAUGAGAGGCUUUAUCUUCUGUGAAGCCAUCCAAACCAUCAGUCACUUACCUUCUGAACAUUCUAGAUAGCAAUGCUUCCUUUGCUCCAAACAUCUCUAAGAAGAAACAUGCUGCUAUAUAAAUGAAAAAUCAAGUUACAGCAAAGCAUGGAAGUAAGCUUACUAAUCAGUUAAAAAAAAAAAAAAAAUUGUAAAAUGCUCAGUGCUUCAAAAUUUCAAAUGUUCAGGAUCAGAUUUUUUUCAGAAGAUCUCACUUGCAAAAGUGGAUUCUUUUUGACAAAAUUCACUAAAAAUCACCUUUUUUUCAUGGAAUAUGUCUUCAACCAAACUGCUGAUGGAUGCACAGUAUAUCUGUUAAAGGUGAAGAAACUAGAUACCAUAUCCACAGGACUCACUUUCCUGUGUUUUUGCUACUUGAGCAGCUCCUACUGUGCAAUUCUUGUUCUGUCUGGCUACUGAGCAUAAAAUUCAAGAAGAAAGCAGAAAAAAAGGCUCUCCAAAGACUAGAGGAAGGAUUAAUCAAGUUUGAAUUGUCUCAGGGUUGCAAUAGAAAAUAAUUUCAGUGGGGCGGAAGAAAGUGUGUAUGCAGCAGUCAUUUGCAGCCAAGAAGUGAGAAACGGACUAACCUCUAACCAGGACAUCUAACGCUCUGUCAUAUCACUUGAGUGUUAAUUGAAUUCUGUGACAAGGUUACCUUAAUUAGUUGGCAGAUGAUAGAAAGAAACUUGACAGGUAAGCAUAACCUGACAGGUCUUGAAUCACUGCUGUCCCCUCUGCCAUUUCAUUUUGAGGUGAAAUUCAGGCUAAAAUAUGCAUUGCUGUGAGGAUAAAAGUUGGCAUGGAGUUCCAGCACCAGGUGUUAAUUUCACUUUUAGGAGAUUUUGGAGGCAUACUAGAAUAUUUUAACAACAACAACAACAACAGAAGUGUAUAAGAACUUAAUUUUUAAAUGACUACAAUCAAGGUUGACAUUUUCCAGUUUUAACCAGCAAACACAGUCUCUGAGCCCUCCCAGUCUGAAAACACUUAGGUUUUUUCAAGAAGACAUGCAGAUCUGACAUAAUAUGAAAAUGAAACAGCUUUCAGGGUCAGUGAGGAGGAAAUGAAAUAAGAUGCAUUCUUAAAAAGAAGAACAAAAAAAGCUUGUCUAUAUCUGAGAAACUAGAAUUAUGGAUACUUUUCCUGAGACUACCACUGAUCAUCAGGGCCUGAUCCCGAAGGCAUUUCUGCAUGUAAGUACUACAGCUUACAUGAAGAGACCCACAGCUCUGUGGGAUCCAUCACAGGCAUGAAGGUACCAGGGGCUGCAAACCAUUUCCAGGAUCAGAGCCUUAACUUCUGACUCAGUAUUAACGUUGUAAAAUAUGACUGUCCUCUGAGGGUGAGCAUGUACCAGUUUCCUUUCCUCCAUCAUUUCCAGAUAAAUCAAUGGAGAUUCCUGUCAAAACAGUAUUUAUGUAUGUAUGUAUAUAUAAGUAUGUAUGUAUGUAUUUAUUUAUUUAUUUAUUUGCUCCAAAGGUGAUUGCAUUCACUCUCAAGAACCCAAAUGAUAGACACCAUAUAUAGCCUCAAAGAUUUUUGCAUGACAUUCCCAUUUCAUAACUGUAGUGGAAAUGCUAAGUCAGGGCUUGAACCAGCGAAUGAGCCCCUGGUGGGAAGGCAGGGCCCACCCAGAGGAGCUCAGCUGCAUGCAAUGUGCCUGAGUGACUGAAAAGAGUGGAGCCAGGAUUAACCCCUCCCCAGACAUCAUUUAAGUGUUGGAAGCAAGGGUGUCUUGUUGGUGAUCCUUGUGUGUUUGAGAUUUUCUGAAGAUUCUGCCUCAGCACAGCAGCCUGAGGUUGCUGAUGCCUGCAAAUGAAGAAGGACAUCUGCUGAGGAGCCUCAGAUGCUGACCCAGGCAAGAGAAUAACUGUGCCAGAAAACAAACAAACUAAUGCAAGUCAUACUGUGAAGAACAGAUUAUACGCAGAAAGAAUCUCUUCCUGUCUCCAGGCAUUAACUGACAAAUACUUCUCCUGAUGUUAUCCUCUCUAGUGGGUAGGCUCAUGUCUGGGCUGGAUGACCUACUUAUCACAUUCAUAAAGAUUUCCAUGAAUUUGGAAUACAUUAACAAUUUCUAUUUUUGAUUACAUUUGGUUGAUUAUGGAAUAAA